AAGGACAGCACUAACAAGUCUAUAUAAGUAAUGAGUAAGUGAAAGAGUGAAAUACACAAUACAUCUAGCUAAAGAGAAACCUUUUGAAUCUUGUUGUGUGUGAAACUCUAUUCCAAGAAGAUGAAGGCAAAGAUGGGAGUGGUGGUGAUAACUAGAAGGGAUUUGAUCUACCAAAGUAAGUUAUCCAACAAGAGUAAUAUUUCUAAGAGCCGUAUGAUCCCCAAGAGAGGCCAAGUGAAAGUGGGGAUUGUGUUGGGAUUGUUUCAUAAUGUCUCCUCCAUCUUCUCAUCAAGAUGUGUUCACUUAUGAAGGAAUUAAUGUUAGAGUCUUAUGUUGUACAAAAGCUACUUGUUAGUUUGUUAACAAUUGGGAGGUGCAAGGAGUAAAUGGUAUGAUGAAAGGUGGAAGAAAAAGUUUUGUUCUGUUGAUAUGUAUAAAUAUAUCUCUUGUUUAGUUUGGAAUGACUAAUGAAUUUGUUUGGUUCUUAUUUACAAAUCUCUCUUAUUCUGUUGUUUAUGCUUGCACAAUUCAAGCUAGUAUAUUUUGUGUUUAGAACCACUUGCAAUGCAUUGUCCAGAAGUGAAAAUGUACUACAUAAUCUGAAAGUUGAAGUUCAUAGCCAUUUCCUGCAUCCUGCAUCUUCACCUCCCUGUUUAUAAAAAUCAUAAGCAAAUUCAUUUUAGAACAAAAAUCUCAGCGCACCCAAAAUUCAAGUAAUUGACCCGAAAUUCAUUGUAUGGAUUUCACCCUAGGCUUUAUGCCGUUUCUGAAUAGGAUCCAAAGAAUUCACUUAGGGCCGUUUGUUUCAUGGUUACAAAUUGAAUUCCCAGAAAUCUAAGAUGGGAAUCAUUUAUUCCCAUGUUUGGUAGACAUGCACCCAAAAAUAAUCCAGGAAUGAAUUAUUCCUGGUAAUUUUCUUUUACACUAUACUGCAUUGUUUUUAUUCCCAACAAAAAGGGUGGGUUUUAUUUAUUUGAAAGACCAUUUCUACCCUCCUAAAUAACCGCAAUAUACUCACGUUUUUUGGUUACAUAUCACGUUUAUACACCAAUUUAUGUGCCACUCAUAAUUUUUUCUUCUCUGCACUAAUUUUGCCAUGGGACAGAUCAUACGACUUUUAAUAUUUGGAUGUUUAGGCGGUGCACUUUUAUUGGAGCAAUAAAUGUCACAUUGUUUUUUCUAUUAUUACAAGUCAUAUUAUAUUUUGAUUGCAUCAAUAAAAGAAAACAUAGAUGAAUUGAUGUAUGAAAUAAAAGUAUCAAAUAAUUUAUAAUUUGAAAUAAUAGAGAAAAUUGAAGACACAUCUCUAUUACCAAAUAUGAUAUAAGGGUAUUUUGAUAAUUAUAUAUAUUUUUUAAAAAUAAUUUCCAGGAACUUAAAUUUUCAACCAAACGUAGUUUUUGAACAUUCCUUGAAAUAAAGUUCACACCUUUUAUUCCUAGAAAAAGGUUAAUCCUGGUAAUAAUUUUGGUAACCAUGAAACAAACGCUCCCUUAGGACCUGCUUGAAUCCACACUUACCUAUAAGCACGAGACUUAUGCUUAAGCUAUUAAAGAAGUCAUUGCAAAAUCGACACUUACCUAUCAGCACAAGUUAAAACAAUGAUGGCAAUGCGACAAGGGUAUUCUUGCUCAAUAGCAUAUGUAUUUUGUUUUGAUAGUUUCUUUUAGUCUGGAAUUGCAAUAGUUUUUUGGUUAGUGCUUGACAGUUAACAUUUCUUAUAAAGCUUUGUUAGGUUGCUCUAGCAGAUAUUUGAAUUAUGAAUUCUCUCGUUUGGAAAGGGUUCUGUGUAUUAACUGUAUAUGAUGAUUUUGUAUAUGUUAAGAGGACUAAUCCGAGUCUGCUAUAUCUAUGUCUUGAUAUAUUUUAGUAGUACAUGGUUUCAAAUUGCCCGUAUGUAAAGUAAUUUUUUAUUUCUGUUAGUGACAUUGAUUACUUUGACCCUGUUUUUGUGCAAAUUUAAUUACAAUGCGACUGCAAUUGAAAUCCUUGCUUUAGUAUAAAACAUGAGGAGACAUUGGGAAUCAAAGUCUUGUUUAACGUGGAUCUUUGAUUGCUUAGUUGUGAAUCAAUGUUCUUUAGUUUGGCCAAGCAGAAAUCAAAGCACUGAAACAUUGUGAUUUGUGAACGACCCGGAGAAAAGGUCGUUUAAGUGGCCAUAUCUGAUUUCCAUUUUUGUUAUAUUCAAUUAAUUUCAAAUUUUCAAAAUUAGUUUCGCCUCUCAUAACAACAUUUUGU
rnacentral:lncRNA from 1 species